UACGUAGGGUGCAAGCGUUGUCCGGAAUUAUUGGGCGUAAAGAGCGUGUAGGCGGCCAGGUAGGUCUGCUGUGAAAACUCGAGGCUCAACCUCGAGACGUCGGCGGAAACCAUCUGGCUAGAGUCCGGAAGAGGAGAGUGGAAUUCCUGGUGUAGCGGUGAAAUGCGCAGAUAUCAGGAAGAACACCCGUGGCGAAGGCGCUCUGCUAGGCCGUAACUGACACUGAGGGACGAAAGCUAGGGGAGCGAAUGGG
rnacentral:rRNA from 1 species